AUUGAACGCUGGCGGCAUGCCUUACACAUGCAAGUCGAACGCGAAAGGGGGGCAACUCCUGAGUAGAGUGGCGCACGGGUGAGUAAUGCAUCGGAACGUGUCCUGUAGCGGGGGAUAACCUAGCGAAAGCUAGGCUAAUACCGCAUACGUCCUACGGGAGAAAGUGGGGGAUCGUAAGACCUCACACUAUAGGAGCGGCCGAUGCCGGAUUAGCUAGUUGGUGGGGUAAGAGCUCACCAAGGCGACGAUCCGUAGCUGGUCUGAGAGGAUGAUCAGCCACACUGGGACUGAGACACGGCCCAGACUCCUACGGGAGGCAGCAGUGGGGAAUAAUGCGCAAUGGGCGAAAGCCUGACGCAGCCAUACCGCGUGUGUGAAGAAGGCCUUCGGGUUGUAAAGCACUUUCAGUGGGGAGGAAAAGCUGGCGGCUAAUAUCCGCCGGCCGUGACGCUACCCACAGAAGAAGCACCGGCUAAUUCCGUGCCAGCAGCCGCCGUAAAAC
rnacentral:rRNA from 1 species